AUCUGUUGGAUCCAUGAUCAGAAGGGAUUGUUGUGGAACUGACUAUAGUUUCAGUUGUUUAUAGCGAAUAUGCAUAAAUGAAAUGUGAUCUUAUCCCCCUCAAUUGCUAUAAUGUGGGGGACAGUGUGGUUUAUUAUUUAGCACACCUGGGCUCAAGUUCCAGUGCAAAGUCGUCAUGCUUCAAGGGCAUUGACAGGGAGGGGAAUGUUGUCAGGCAGAAUUUUGCAGCAUUACAUACACUACUGUCUCUUACUUAUGGGUUACCCAACUUCCUGCCUACAGUCUGUGGGAGCCAAGAUAGUGCUGAUAACGGUAUUCCCACCUCAGUCUUCUCCAGCGACCUCCAUAGCUUAUUGGUAUCAUGUUUUCCCACAAAGGAAUUGUGGCUCAAAAUUACCACAAAGUUUUGUAAUACAUAACUGGCAAUUAAGCUGGACCAAGACUUUUUUGGAAACUUUUAAUGCCCAGCCAAACUCUUCCUGUAGUCCAGUAGUUUCGUCGCAUAUGGAGGUAAAGAAUUCAGGGAAUUCACAGUUGGGUAAUCGUCGAUUUUUGGCAAGCGUAUUUGUCUGGCGCUGUCAGUUUGAGGCUGUGGGAGGGAAUAUAGCUUAGUGAUAGCUGACCCUAUUUCUGUUGCCUGCCUGUAACUUCCCACAUCUGUUGCUGUUAAUAAAAACAAAAAUUAAAAAGGGGAGACUGGGAAAAAGAAGAGGUGAUGUUUCAAAUUCGAGGGAGGCCAGCUCUCGUCUGAGUUUGGUUAAGUGCAAAAAGAUAUGUAUUUUGUGCUUCUCUGACCUGUAUACAUGCGAGUAAAGUGUUGAGGUGGGAUUCUUGUGUUUUCACCUCAGUCCCUUUCUCAUUAACAUGUGUAUGCUUUCCACACACAAAGUAAAUCUAAUAUG